rnacentral:rRNA from 1 species
GACGAACGCUGGCGGCGUGCCUAAUACAUGCAAGUUGAGCGCUGAAGGUUGGUACUUGUACCAACUGGAUGAGCAGCGAACGGGUGAGUAACGCGUGGGGAAUCUGCCUUUGAGCGGGGGACAACAUUUGGAAACGAAUGCUAAUACCGCAUAAAAACUUUAAACACAAGUUUUAAGUUUGAAAGAUGCAAUUACAUCACUCAAAGAUGAUCCCGCGUUGUAUUAGCUAGUUGGUGAGGUAAAGGCUCACCAAGGCGAUGAUACAUAGCCGACCUGAGAGGGUGAUCGGCCACAUUGGGACUGAGACACGGCCCAAACUCCUACGGGAGGCAGCAGUAGGGAAUCUUCGGCAAUGGACGAAAGUCUGACCGAGCAACGCCGCGUGAGGGAAGAAGGUUUUCGGAUCGUAAAACUCUGUUGGUAGAGAAGAACGUUGGUGAGAGUGGAAAGCUCAUCAAGUGACGGUAACUACCCAGAAAGGGACGGCUAACUACGUG